rnacentral:rRNA from 1 species
UACGUAGGGAGCAAGCGUUGUCCGGAAUCAUUGGGCGUAAAGCGCGCGUAGGUGGCUUCGUAAGUCCGUUGUGAAAGUCAAAGGCUCAACCUUUGAAAGCCGAUGGAUACUGCGGAGCUAGAGUACGGAAGAGGCGAGUGGAAUUCCUGGUGUAGCGGUGGAAUGCGCAGAUAUCAGGAGGAACACCAAUAGCGAAGGCAGCUCGCUGGGACGUUACUGACACUGAGGCGCGAAAGCGUGGG